CAUGCAGAGCUGACUUGAUUUCCAAACAUGUUAUCCUCUCUUUUGGAAGAUAGGUUAAUAUAUAUGAUACAAGAGGACCCAGACCUAGAAACAAACACUUGGCAGACAAUCCCUAUAAAGCAGCUAUGAAUAUUUUUUUGGUGGAUACAUCGAGAUGUGCUCAAGGAUAUACAUAUUGGACUGCAUAUCAUGCAAUUUAUUCUGAUCUUACUGACAGUUUGCAAACAAAAACUCAAAACAAGAUGCAACUGUGUGCAGCUCCCGAACUGUAGGUUCUGAUUUUGGCAUCCAUGAAUGCAUGAGGAAAGGGGCUACAGCUGAGAAGAGAAUAAUGUCACGAAGGAGUUUAUAGACUGUGAGAGCAAAGUGUCCAUCGGAUUAAAGAGAAGGUGUAGUGUGAAUGAAAAUUUGAGAGAGCUAGAAAAAUGGAAGACCGUGGCCAGAUGGGCUUCUAAGACUUUAAAUGUGCAGCAGUUCUCCGGACAACUUUUGGAAUGAGCCUGUGGGUGUAGGAGGCCAAUGCCAAGUGGAAAUGAAGUGAGGGUUGCUGGAGUUGAGUGUCUCCAUGAGCCAGGCUUCAUUAGACACUGGAAACAUAAGUCUUAAAAACGAAAUCCAAAGCUCAAAACCCACUAUGGGCAGUGAAAGAAAAUCCUUGAAUCUCAGCUAUAGCUAUUCAGUAAGAAAUACUCAGUGAAUAGUGGAAGCUUAAUCCCAGCUAUGAAAAUGUCUCUGUGUUUGUCAAAGCCAAAGUUGAUUUUGCUCUAUGGAGCUGCCAAAGAAGAAAUUACUUGGUGAAGAGGUAAAAUAGAGUCGUAAUAUGAUAUAAAUGUUUCUAGAAAUGGUGUCAGGAUGCCGUGUGUAAGUCAGGGCAUCUCUUGUUAGAGAGAAACAAGUUAAAACUAACUCAUUUCAUGAGAAGUGUACUGAUCAAGCUGAGAGCUCCCUUUUCUGCUUUCCAUUUUUUUUCUCCCAUAGCUAUCACUUGGUAAAAAUUAUGCUUGAUGUCAGGGUGCCAGUUAUAGUUUAUUUAGACUACUUUUGUACAUUUUUUUCUGGCUGAAAAAUGAAUUUAAUUUGUCUUGUUUAGUGUAUUUUCAAAUAAUUUUUAAUAAAAAUAUUAAAAAGUAAAUGAUGGAAAGGAGAUUCUGUUUCAUCUAGGCAGGAAAAUUAAACUAGUUUUUUUUUUUAGUGAACGUGGAAACUGUAAGUUGUAUGAUUACAGAGUUAACACAUAAUUGGGUAAGAUAAAGAUCUAGGAAAAGCUGGGAAGUCGAUGUAGUGGAAAGUCUGUUGGCCUUGGAAUCAAACCAUCUAAAUUUGAGCCCAGGAUCUUAUCAAGUGACCUUAGGAAUAUCAUUUAAAUUAUUUAAGCCUCAGUCGUCUUAUUUAUAAAGAGAGAAUAAAAACACCUGCUUCAAAGGGUAGGAGGUAGUAGUUAUAAAAGCACUUUCUAAAUUGCAAAUUGUUAAACACAUAUAAGGUAUGAUUAUUAAAUGAGAAAGGCACUUGUAAUACAUGCAGAUCUUAGAAUGACAAUCAGUAAGUAAUAGCUAAAAUGUGAUUUUAAUUUCCAGAGUUAUAGCUAUUGAGAAGUAUUUCCUCAUGUCAGCUCUGGGCAAUAACAUCUCAGAUGGUGUUUGAGCUGAAUGAGCUUAAGUUUGGACUAUUGUGAAACUUCUGCAUGCUGCUUCUUGGCUUGGUUGUACCAAGUCUGAGAAACCUGGCUUGACUUCCUUCCCUGCAGUUUUCUCUUGUAGGAGCGCUGUUAUCAUCUAUCCUGCUGUAAUGUUAAGAAGAAUAUCUUCAUUUCACCUUCUGAACUACAUGUUACUUAUGCAAUUUAGUUUGGAUUUCAUUCUUCCAGAAAGGUGUAGCCACAUGCUUUCUAUAAUACACCUCUGUUCCUUCAUAACCUUCAGUGCAACACAGCAGUUCUCAAGGUGCUUAUCUUAUAUUCGUGGUUUUUUUCCCCAGGAAUAACCUUCACUGCAAAAGAAGUGUAUUUGGUUUGGAGAUUAUAGAUAUGCUAUAUUUAUUCAUGUGUAUUCUGAGUGAAGUGUUUAUUUUCCGAAACCACUUCUUGCCCCUCCCCUCUUGACCUUAAGUUUCUAGGAAUGGAGAGUUGAUUUGACUAGUGCUGAAUCAUAUAGGAAAAUUCUCUAAAAACCCCCAC